rnacentral:rRNA from 2 species
GAGCACGCCGCGUGAGUGAAGAAGGUUUUCGGAUCGUAAAACUCUGUUGUUAGAGAAGAACAAGGAUGAGAGUAGAACGUUCAUCCCUUGACGGUAUCUAACCAGAAAGCCACGGCUAACUACGUGCCAGCAGCCGCGGUAAUACGUAGGUGGCAAGCGUUGUCCGGAUUUAUUGGGCGUAAAGCGAGCGCAGGCGGUUUCUUAAGUCUGAUGUGAAAGCCCCCGGCUCAACCGGGGAGGGUCAUUGGAAACUGGGAGACUUGAGUGCAGAAGAGGAGAGUGGAAUUCCAUGUGUAGCGGUGAAAUGCGUAGAUAUAUGGAGGAACACCAGUGGCGAAGGCGGCUCUCUGGUCUGUAACUGACGCUGAGGCUCGAAAGCGUGGGGAGCGAACAGGAUUAGAUACCCUGGUAGUCCACGCCGUAAACGAUGAGUGCUAAGUGUUGGAGGGUUUCCGCCCUUCAGUGCUGCAGCAAACGCAUUAAGCACUCCGCCUGGGGAGUACGACCGCAAGGUUGAAACUCAAAGGAAUUGACGGGGGCCCGCACAAGCGGUGGAGCAUGUGGUUUAAUUCGAAGCAACGCGAAGAACCUUACCAGGUCUUGACAUCCUUUGACCACUCUAGAGAUAGAGCUUCCCCUUCGGGGGCAAAGUGACAGGUGGUGCAUGGUUGUCGUCAGCUCGUGUCGUGAGAUGUUGGGUUAAGUCCCGCAACGAGCGCAACCCUUAUUGUUAGUUGCCAUCAUUUAGUUGGGCACUCUAGCGAGACUGCCGGUGACAAACCGGAGGAAGGUGGGGAUGACGUCAAAUCAUCAUGCCCCUUAUGACCUGGGCUACACACGUGCUACAAUGGGAAGU